CGGGAUUCAGAUACACAAGUAAUAGAGAAGCAUUUUAUUACUCGUCAUGAAGAUCCCAACAUCAAACUUUAGCUUUAUGAUGACCACUUAGGCUUAGGAAUUACUAAGUGGACAGAUACGAAGCUUACAAAG
rnacentral:snoRNA from 1 species